rnacentral:rRNA from 1 species
GACGAACGCUGGCGGCGUGCUUAACACAUGCAAGUCGAACGGAAAGGCCCUGCUUUUGUGGGGUGCUCGAGUGGCGAACGGGUGAGUAACACGUGAGUAACCUGCCCUUGACUUUGGGAUAACUUCAGGAAACUGGGGCUAAUACCGGAUAGGAGCUCCUGCUGCAUGGUGGGGGUUGGAAAGUUUCGGCGGUUGGGGAUGGACUCGCGGCUUAUCAGCUUGUUGGUGGGGUAGUGGCUUACCAAGGCUUUGACGGGUAGCCGGCCUGAGAGGGUGACCGGCCACAUUGGGACUGGGGUACGACCCAGAGUCCUACGGGAGGCAGCAGUGGGGAAUAUUGCACAAUGGGCGGAAGCCUGAUGCAGCAACGCCGCGUGCGGGAUGACGGCCUUCGGGUUGUAAACCGCUUUCGCCUGUGACGAAGCGUGAGUGACGGUAAUGGGUAAAGAAGCACCGGCUAACUACGUG